UCUUUUUCUCUUCUAUUCGUCUUCUCUCCUUUCCUGUCGAUCUCAAUUCGACGAAUUGAGUUUGUUUCGUUGAUUUAAUUCAUAAAAACUUGGUAGUAUGUUAAAUCGAAGGUGCCGAUGUUGGUUCCAUGUUUGAAUUAGCUCGGGAGAAGAAGGAACUGAUGUUGUUGUAAUUUGAAGUUAGAGUUUCAUUUGAGAUUCAAAGAGGAAUUAGAAGAUGAAGAUGAUGGUUUAGAUGAUUGAAUUAAUUUGGGUUUAUUAAGAAUUAGGAUAUAAGGUUGAAGAGUGGUCUGAAUUUGAUAUUAGGGUUCCUGAGUUGGAUUAGAAUUCGAAUUAGGUGAUGAUUAAGAAGAAAUUGACGACUGGGUUCUGUUAAUUGAGGAACGGGAUGAAGUUAAUUGGAUAACUUGGAGUUAUUCAUGAAGAACUGAGGAAUUAGGGUUUCUGUUCUUCCCCCAAAAUGGAAAUUAGGGUUUCAAUGGAAUUGAAUUGGGAAAUUAGCUAUUCAGAGGAUGCUCAUGCUUGGUUAAUUGUUAUUAACAAUGAUCGAUUCAAAGAAUGAACCAGUGGAUUAUGGAUCUCAAGGUAUACGAGGCUUGUCAUCAAAUCAGUUUCAGUUUUCAGAAGAGAUGGUGCGCAUGAAGAUAUUCUUUUCGUAGAUGAAAGCAUUAGCAGAUUAAGAACGUUUAUGGAUCUUUUAUAUAUUUGUAUUCUUUGCUUAUCUGUAAAACAACACAUUAAUAUAUUCAUAUCAUAUGAGAGUUUUCAUCUAUUAAGUAUCAGAGU